rnacentral:antisense_RNA from 1 species
GUACUCAGAAAGGCAAAACAUCUUGCUCAAGGGCUCACAACUAUUUAGGUGGUAGAGCUAAGAUAUGAACCUACCUCUGACACCAAAGUGCACUUCAACACCCUACUAUCACCCAACAAAGAAUUCUGGCCACAGAAUCACCUUGCUGCGGUAUUCCUGACUGAAUCAAGAUACGCUGGGGAAGAGGCAGCUGAAGACAGCCCGGGUUCUGACCUCGGCCCUGCUGCCUAACUGCCUGGCGACUUCAGGUUUUCUAAUCACAGAAUUACUGGAGCGUCAAGAAGCGCCUGCAUGCUUGGAAGGGCUUCCAGGCAGAUGAACACACCUCAGCACCGGGUGGCAGUUUCCCAGGGUGCAACCCGGACCGGCUCUGGGUCACACUGACAAGCCUCUCCGACUCCCCAGGCUGGGUUGGGUGCUCCUCCCUCUCAUCCCACAGCGCUAUGUCUCAUGUCUUCUGGAAAACUUGCCAAUCCCUAGUGAUAACAAGGAUUAACAAUUUCCAGAGACAGCCCGUACAUAGAGGGAAAGUUUACUGAAAAAAAUGAAGAGGGGUCAGGGCAAGGCGAGGAGCAAGAAGCAUCCCCAAGGAAACAGAGAAGACCAGUACAACUGUACCUCUUUGCCAGCUGCACCAUCCGUACCAGUCUCCUGGGGUGGGAGUGUACAGCUCAGAGACUGCCACACUGCAAGACG